rnacentral:rRNA from 1 species
GACGAACCGUACGAACGUUAUUCGGAAUCACUGGGCGUAAAGGGUGCGUAGGCGGUCGGGUAAGUCUGAUGUGAAAUCUCACAGCUUAACUGUGAAACUGCAUUGGAUACUAUCCGGCUAGAGGAAUGGAGGGGAGACUGGAAUACUUGGUGUAGCAGUGAAAUGCGUAGAUAUCAAGUGGAACACCAGUGGCGAAGGCGAGUCUAUGGACAUUUCCUGACGCUGAGGCACGAAAGCCAGGGGAGCAAACGGG